GCGCUGCAUUAGCUAGUUGGUAAGGUAACGGCUUACCAAGGCAACGAUGCAUAGCCGACCUGAGAGGGUGAUCGGCCACACUGGAACUGAGACACGGUCCAGACUCCUACGGGAGGCAGCAGUAGGGAAUCUUCCGCAAUGGGCGAAAGCCUGACGGAGCAACGCCGCGUGAGUGAUGAAGGUCUUCGGAUCGUAAAACUCUGUUAUUAGGGAAGAACAUAUGUGUAAGUAACUGUGCACAUCUUGACGGUACCUAAUCAGAAAGCCACGGCUAACUACGUGCCAGCAGCCGCGGUAAUACGUAGGUGGCAAGCGUUAUCCGGAAUUAUUGGGCGUAAAGCGCGCGUAGGCGGUUUUUUAAGUCUGAUGUGAAAGCCCACGGCUCAACCGUGGAGGGUCAUUGGAAACUGGAAAACUUGAGUGCAGAAGAGGAAAGUGGAAUUCCAUGUGUAGCGGUGAAAUGCGCAGAGAUAUGGAGGAACACCAGUGGCGAAGGCGACU
rnacentral:rRNA from 1 species